rnacentral:tRNA from 1 species
AUUUAUAUAGUUUAAAUAAAAACGUUACAUUUUCAUUGUAGGAAUAAAUUUUGUUUUAUAAAUA